rnacentral:lncRNA from 1 species
GAGUGUAAUGUACUAGAAGAUGGGGGAUCGCAGAAACUUAGGCUUUUUCUGUUUUCUAGUAGUGAUUUUGAUGAUGGUCAGUUUGGCUUGGGAAGCAUGGAGGGUGACUCUGAGAUUCAAUAUGUGGUUGCUGUGAAUGGAAUGGACCUAGAAUCAAGAAAGAACUCAAUUGGGUUGGCAAGCACUUCAGAUAACAAUUUGGAUGAGUUACUCAAUCUAAAUGUUGAAAGGGAGACUGGUCGAGUUGCAACAGAAUUACCUGGACCUAGUACUGCACCUUCGACUGUCAAUGUACAUUCAUCAGCAGUCCAAUCUUCUCAACCACUGGUGCCGAAUUUUUCUGGUGCUUAUGAAUCCAAUUCAAAGCCUUACCAAGGUCAGAAAAUGCGUCACGGAGAAGCUGAACAACAUCAG